rnacentral:rRNA from 1 species
UACGGAGGAUGCAAGCGUUAUCCGGAUUCAUUGGGUUUAAAGGGUGCGUAGGCGGGCUAUUAAGUCAGUGGUGAGAUCCUGCAGCUUAACUGCAGAACUGCCGUUGAUACUGAUAGUCUUGAGUUUGGUUAAGGUAGGCGGAAUGUGUAAUGUAGCGGUGAAAUGCUUAGAUAUUACACAGAACACCAAUUGCGUAGGCAGCUUACUGAGCCGACACUGACGCUGAGGCACGAAAGCGUGGGGAUCAAACAGGA